rnacentral:tRNA from 2 species
GCUUCCGUAGCUCAGCUGGAUAGAGCAAUGCCCUUCUAAGGCAGAGGUCGAAGGUUCGAAUCCUUCCGGGAGCACCA